rnacentral:rRNA from 1 species
GACGAACGCUGGCGGCGUGCCUAAUACAUGCAAGUAGAACGCACAGUUUAUACCGUAGCUUGCUACACCAUAGACUGUGAGUUGCGAACGGGUGAUUAACGCGUAGGUAACCUGCCUGGUAGCGGGGGAUAACUAUUGUAAACGAUAGCUAAUACCGCAUAAUAUUAAUUAUUGCAUGAUAAUUAAUUGAAAGGUGCAAUUGCACCACUACCAGAUGGACCUGCGUUGUAUUAGCUAGUAGGUGAGGUAACGGCUCACCUAGGCGACGAUACAUAGCCGACCUGAGAGGGUGAUCGGCCACAAUGGGACUGAGACACGGCCCAGACUUCUACGGGAGGCAGCAGUAGGGAAUCUUCGGCAAUGGACGAAAGUCUGACCGAGCAACGACGCGUGAGUGAAGAAGGGUUUCGGAUCGGAAAGCUCCGUUGUAAGAGAAGAAAGGGUGUGAGAGUGGAAAGUUCACACUGUGACGGUAUCUUAACAGAAAGAGACGGCUAACUACGUG